rnacentral:rRNA from 1 species
UGGGGAAUAUUGCACAAUGGGCGCAAGCCUGAUGCAGCCAUGCCGCGUGUGUGAAGAAGGCCUUCGGGUUGUAAAGCACUUUCAGCGGGGAGGAAGGCGAUAAGGUUAAUAACCUUGUCGAUUGACGUUACCCGCAGAAGAAGCACCGGCUAACUCCGUGCCAGCAGCCGCGGUAAUACGGAGGGUGCAAGCGUUAAUCGGAAUUACUGGGCGUAAAGCGCACGCAGGCGGUCUGUCAAGUCGGAUGUGAAAUCCCCGGGCUUAACCUGGGAACUGCAUUCGAAACUGGCAGGCUAGAGUCUUGUAGAGGGGGGUAGAAUUCCAUGUGUAGCGGUGAAAUGCGUAGAGAUGUGGAGGAAUACCGGUGGCGAAGGCGGCCCCCUGGACAAAGACUGACGCUCAGGUGCGAAAGCGUGGGGAGCAAACAGG